rnacentral:rRNA from 1 species
GUGGGGAAUAUUGGGCAAUGGGGGAAACCCUGACCCAGCAACGCCGCGUGAGGGAAGAAGGUUUUCGGAUUGUAAACCUCUGUCCUUGGUGACGAAGGAAGUGACGGUAGCCAAGGAGGAAGCCCCGGCUAACUACGUGCCAGCAGCCGCGGUAAUACGUAGGGGGCAAGCGUUGUCCGGAAUGACUGGGCGUAAAGGGCGUGUAGGCGGCCGAUUAAGUCUGGAGUGAAAGUCCUGCUUUCAAGGUGGGAAUUGCUUUGGAGACUGGUUGGCUUGAGUGCGGAAGAGGUAAGUGGAAUUCCCAGUGUAGCGGUGAAAUGCGUAGAGAUUGGGAGGAACACCAGUGGCGAAGGCGACUUACUGGGCCGUAACUGACGCUGAGGCGCGAAAGCGUGGGGAGCGAACAGGAUUAGAAACCCGUGUAGUCC